CCCAAGGAUGGGGCCGCGGCCGAUCAGGUUGUUGGUGAGGUAACGGCUCACCAAGCCUUUAACCGGUGCGGGCCGUGGGAGCGGGAGCCCGGAGAUGGGCACUGAGACAAGGGCCCAGGCCCUACGGGGCGCAGCAGUCGCGAAAACUUCGCAAUAAGCGAAAGCUUGACGGGGCUAUCCCGAGUGCCAUCCGCUGAGGAUGGCUUUUCCCUAGUAUAGACAGCUGGGGGAAAAAGGAGAGGGCAAGUCUGGUGUCAGCCGCCGCGGUAAUACCUGCUCUCCGAGUGGUGGGGAUGAUUAUUGGGCCUAAAGCAUCCGUAGCCGGCUGGGCAAGUCCCCUGUUAAACCCAGCGAUCUAAUCGUUGGCCCGCGGGGGAUACUGCUUGGCUAGGGGGCGAGAGAGGCCGUCGGUAUUCCCGGGGUAGGGGUGAAAUCCUAUAAUCCCGGGAGGACCACCAGUGGCGAAGGCUGUCGGCUAGAACGCGCCCGACGGUGAGGGAUGAAAGCUGGGGGAGCGAACCGGAUUAGAUACCCGGGUAGUCCCAGCUGUAAACGAU
rnacentral:rRNA from 1 species